GGAGCACUGGGGAGUAAUGAGAGUACCCAGAGCAUCAGGAGCACUGAUUGUACCAGGGUCACCAGGAGCACUGGGAGCACCGGGGGUGCCGUGAGCACCCUCAGCACCUCAUGCGUGGCACCUCCUGUGCGUGAUGGCUGUUGGCUAACCAGAGCUGGUGGAGGCAGCUUAAGUCUGUUUGACUGUCCCUGUCAUCAUAAGGUUUACGGAUGGUUAAUUUAUUCUUUAUAGCACAGUCAUUGAUGGCUGUUAAAUCACAAAUGAGAGCCAAUAAAGGGUGAAUUGCAGCUGAAAUUACACUGUUUAUAUGACAGCAGAGUGCUGGCUAAAAGAUUCAUAUGCCGCUGAUGAAGUACGUUAUAAAUUUUAAUUACCAUAGUUUGUACAAAUGACAUGUUUGAAAUGCUAUUGAGUAAUGUGACCCUGAUAAUGAAACUAUAAAAUAAAUCAUUAACUUUCUGAAUGAGCUUUUUUAUUUCCAUGCUACAUGAAGUAAACUUUCCAAUUUAUUCCAUUGCAGCCCUCUUUCAAAAAAAUUAAAAGAAAGUGGAGACAGAAGUGUCACCAUCCAGCAGCAGGGGAUGUGGACAUCUGGGGGAGGAGAGCAUCAUGCAGAAGGGGAGAUGGACACCUGCAGGGUGACACAGACAAGCGUGCAGCCUGGACAGAUGGCCACAACCCUAUGGACAGACUCCAUCCGCCCUGCAUGCUAUCCCAUGGCACAGUGCAUGGGGACACCACCAGCAUGCAGCCACAAGGCCAUGGUACCACAAUGAAGGAGUUGUUCUGCAGUCUAAUGGAGGGGGAAAAAAAAGCCUAUAGUGCAUCAUGAAUAGUCCAAAAUGCAAAGAUGACAAUUUAAGUGUUUAAAAUGUACUCAAGGUAAUUCCAAACAAAUUUUAAAGCUAUUUCAGACUAUAAAACCUCUCAGCUAAAUCAUUGGUUAUAUGGCGGCAGUGCUUAUGUUGCAAAAUAUCAUGAGCAUGAAAGGGAAAGUUUUAAAGAUUGCUGGUUAAUCCUUAUAAAUGAGUUAUUGGCGUCACAGAGCCGCAGCUGGAGGAGCUGCCUGAUGGAAGCUGAGCCCACCAGGAGCCCCGUGGCUGUGAUCUGUAGGGUUUGGUGAUGCUGUCCAUGCAGCACUG
rnacentral:lncRNA from 1 species